UACAGAGGGGGCUAGCGUUGCUCGGAAUUACUGGGCGUAAAGAGCGCGCAGGCGGUCGUGCAAGUCGCGUGUGAAAGCCCCCGGCUCAACUGGGGAGGGUCACGCGAUACUGCUCGACUCGAAGGCAGGAGAGGGAAGUGGAAUUCCCGGUGUAGUGGUGAAAUGCGUAGAUAUCGGGAGGAACACCAGUGGCGAAGGCGACUUCCUGGCCUGUUCUUGACGCUGAGGCGCGAAAGCUAGGGUAGCAAACGGG
rnacentral:rRNA from 1 species